GAUGAACGCUGGCGGCGUGCCUAAUACAUGCAAGUCGAGCGGACAGACGAGGAGCUUGCUCCUCUCACGUUUGCGGCGCACGGGUGAGUAACACGUGGAUAACCUCCCUAUAAGACUGGGAUCACUUCGGGAAACCGGAGAUAACACCGGAUAAUAUAUUGAACCGCAUGGUUCAUUAGUGAAUGACGGUUUUGCUGUCACUUAUAGAUGGAUCCGCGCCGCAUUAGCUAGUUGGUAAGGUAACGGCUUACCAAGGCAACGAUGCGUAUCCGACCUGAGAGGGGGAUCGGCCACACUGGAACGGAGACACGGUCCAGACUCCUAUGAGAGGCAGCAGUAGGGAAUCUUCGGCAAUAGGCGGAAGCCUGACGGAGCAACGCCGCGUGAGUGAUGAAAGUCUUCGGAUCGUAAAACUCGGUUAUGAGGGAAGAACAAAUGUGUAAGUAACUAUGCACGUCUUGACGGUACCUAAUCAGAAAGCCACGGCUAACUACGUG
rnacentral:rRNA from 1 species